rnacentral:rRNA from 1 species
UACGGAGGGGGCUAGCGUUGUUCGGAAUUAUUGGGCGUAAAGCGCGUGUAGGCGGCUUUGCAAGUCGGGUGUGAAAGCCCUCAGCUCAACUGAGGAAGUGCGCCCGAAACUGCAGAGCUUGAGUGCCGGAGAGGGUGGCGGAAUUCCCCAAGUAGAGGUGAAAUUCGUAGAUAUCAGGAGGAACACCGGUGGCGAAAGCGGGCUUCCUGGCCCGACACUGACGCUCAUGUACGAAAGCGUGGGGAGCAAACAGG